CCUACGGGAGGCAGCAGUGAGGAAUAUUGGUCAAUGGGCGGGAGCCUGAACCAGCCAAGUAGCGUGAAGGAUGACUGCCCUACGGGUUGUAAACUUCUUUUAUAAAGGAAUAAAGUGAGGCACGUGUGCCUUUUUUUAUGUACUUUAUGAAUAAGGAUCGGCUAACUCCGUUCCAGCAGCCGCGGUAAUACGGAGGAGCCGAGCGUUAUCCGGAUUUAUUGGGUUUAAAGGGAGCGUAGAUGGGUUGUUAAGUGAGUUGUGAAAGUUUGCGGCUCAACCGUAACAUUGCAAUUGAUACUGGCAGGCUUGAGGACAGUUGAGGUAGGCGGAAUUCGUGGUGUAGCGGUGAAAUGCUUAGAUAUCACGAAGAACUCCGAUUGCGAAGGCAGACUACUAAACUGCCACUGACAUUGAUGCUCGAAAGUGUGGGUAUCAAACAGGAUUAGAUACCCCAUUAGAUACCCUGGUAGUC
rnacentral:rRNA from 1 species